AACACGUGGGUGAUCUGCCCUGCACUUCGGGAUAAGCCUGGGAAACUGGGUCUAAUACCGGAUAGGAGCCAUUUUUAGUGUGAUGGUUGGAAAGUUUUUUCGGUGUAGGAUGAGCUCGCGGCCUAUCAGCUUGUUGGUGGGGUAAUGGCCUACCAAGGCGGCGACGGGUAGCCGGCCUGAGAGGGUGGACGGCCACAUUGGGACUGAGAUACGGCCCAGACUCCUACGGGAGGCAGCAGUGGGGAAUAUUGCACAAUGGGCGCAAGCCUGAUGCAGCGACGCCGCGUGGGGGAUGACGGCCUUCGGGUUGUAAACUCCUUUCGCUAGGGACGAAGCUUUUUGUGACGGUACCUAGAUAAGAAGCACCGGCUAACUACGUGCCAGCAGCCGCGGUAAUACGUAGGGUGCGAGCGUUGUCCGGAAUUACUGGGCGUAAAGGGCUCGUAGGUGGUUUGUCGCGUCGUCUGUGAAAUUCCGGGGCUUAACUCCGGGCGUGCAGGCGAUACGGGCAUAACUUGAGUACUGUAGGGGUAACUGGAAUUCCUGGUGUAGCGGUGAAAUGCGCAGAUAUCAGGAGG
rnacentral:rRNA from 1 species